rnacentral:rRNA from 1 species
AAGAUAGUUGAACUUGAACGGCAUGUCAUGUUUCCUAUGGUUUAUCGCCUCGUCGAGUUGGCAUUGCUACUACCGGUAAUGAGGACAAUAGCUGAAAGAGCAUUCUCAGCAAUGAAAAUCAUUCAGACCGAGCUGUGCAACAUGAUGUUCGGUGGCUGGUUUAACUAUUUGAUGGUGUGUUACAUUGAGCGAGGAGGGAUAUUCAAAAGUCUUCAUCAUGGUAAAAUUAAGGAAGAUUUUUGAAAUGAUGUUAGGGCAUUGCCAUUGCCUGGGUCUUCUAGAGAUCAUUCAAAGUUUCAUUAUCGGUAUGUUUCAGAUUCUCAAGUAAAAUUUCUCGUUGCGUUGCAUUAG